GAUUUCUGGCUUGAAACAUUUUGCCGGCCACGGUUUCGUGUGUUAGUGCUGGAUGCUCUGUCCAUCCUUCCAAUCGCUAUUGGCUAUUCUUCAUUGAAUGGUCCGUAGUAUUGGAUCUUUUACUUUGAAAAAAUUAGAGUGUUUCAAGCAGGCUUUAUGCUAUGAAUACAUUAGCAUGGAAUAAUAAUUUAGGACUUCGGCCCUAUUUUGUUGGUUUCUAGGACUGAAGUAAUGAUUGAUAGGGAUAGUUGGGGGUGCUAGUAUUCAGCGGCCAGAGGUGAAAUUCUUGGAUUCGCUGAAGACUAACUUAUGCGAAAGCAUU
rnacentral:rRNA from 1 species